rfam:Papio anubis isolate 1X1155 chromosome 4, whole genome shotgun sequence.
AAAAAGGCCCUUUUUAGGGCCCCUAAGCUUUCAACAAAAGAGUUA